CCUACGGGUGGCAGCAGUGGGGAAUAUUGGGCAAUGGGCGCAAGCCUGACCCAGCAACGCCGCGUGAAGGAAGAAGGCUUUCGGGUUGUAAACUUCUUUUCUGAGGGACGAAGAAAGUGACGGUACCUCAGGAAUAAGCCACGGCUAACUACGUGACCGCAGCCGCGGUAAUGCGUAGGUGGCAAGCGUUAUCCGGAUUUAGUGGGUGUAAAGGGCGUGUGGGCGGGAAAGCAAGUCAGAUGUGAAAACUCAGGGCUCAACCCUGUGCCUGCAUUGGAAACUGUUUUUCUUGAGUGCUGUAGAGGCAAUCGGAAUUCCGUGUGUAGCGGUGAAAUGCGUAGAUAUACGGAGGAACACCAGUGGCGAAGGCGGAUUGCUGGACAGUAACUGACGCUGAGGCGCGAAAGCGUGGGGAGCAAACAGGAUUAGAUACCCGUGUAGUC
rnacentral:rRNA from 1 species